rnacentral:rRNA from 1 species
GACGAACGCUGGCGGCGUGCCUAAUACAUGCAAGUCGAGCGAAUGACGAGAAGCUUGCUUCUCUGAUUUAGCGGCGGACGGGUGAGUAACACGUGGGCAACCUGCCCUACAGAUCGGGAUAACUCAGGGACACCUGGGCUAAUACCGGAUAAUCCUUCGAAUCACAUGUUUUGAAGUUGAAAGGCGCUUCGGCGUCACUGUAGGAUGGGCCCGCGGUGCAGUAGCUAGUUGGGGGGGUAACGGCCUACCAAGGCAACGAUGCAUAGCCGACCUGAGAGGGUGAUCGACCACAUUGGGACUGAGACACGGCCCAAACUCCUACGGGAGGCAGCAGUAGGGAAUCUUCCACAAUGGACGAAAGUCUGAUGGAGCAACGCCGCGUGAGUGAUGAAGGUUUUCGGAUCGUAAAACUCUGUUGUAAGGGAAGAACAAGUACGUUAGGAAAUGAACGUACCUUGACGGUACCUUAUUAGAAAGCCACGGCUAACUACGUGCCAGCAGCCGCAGUAAGAC